UACGUAGGGGUGCAAGCGUUGUCCGGAAUUAUUGGGCGUAAAGAGCUCGUAGGCGGUCUGUCGCGUCGGAUGUGAAAACCCAGGGCUCAACCCUGGGCCUGCAUUCGAUACGGGCAGACUAGAGUUCGGUAGGGGAGACUGGAAUUCCUGGUGUAGCGGUGAAAUGCGCAGAUAUCAGGAGGAACACCGGUGGCGAAGGCGGGUCUCUGGGCCGAAACUGACGCUGAGGAGCGAAAGCGUGGGGAGCAAACAGG
rnacentral:rRNA from 1 species